GACGAACGCUGGCGGCGUGCCUAAUACAUGCAAGUUGAGCGCCGAAGGUUGGUACUUGUACCAACUGGAUGAGCAGCGAACGGGUGAGUAACGCGUGGGGAAUCUGCCUUUGAGCGGGGGACAACAUUUGGAAACGAAUGCUAAUACCGCAUAAAAACUUUAAACACAAGUUUUAAGUUUGAAAGAUGCAAUUGCAUCACUCAAAGAUGAUCCCGCGUUGUAUUAGCUAGUUGGUGAGGUAAAGGCUCACCAAGGCGAUGAUACAUAGCCGACCUGAGAGGGUGAUCGGCCACACUGGGACGGAGACACGGCCCAAACUCCUACGGGAGGCAGCAGUAGGGAAUCUUCGGCAAGGGACGAAAGUCUGACCGAGCAACGCCGCGUGAGUGAAGAAGGUUUUCGGAUCGUAAAACUCUGUUGGUAGAGAAGAACGUUGGUGAGAGUGGAAAGCUCAUCAAGUGACGGUAACUACCCAGAAAGGGACGGCUAACUACGUG
rnacentral:rRNA from 1 species